rnacentral:rRNA from 1 species
UACGUAGGGGGCAAAUGUUGUCCGGAAUCAUUGGGCGUAAAGCGCGCGUAGGCGGCCCGGUAAGUCCGUUGUGAAAGUCAAAGGCUCAACCUUUGAACGCCGAUGGAUACUGCCGGGCUAGAGUCCGGAAGAGGCGAGUGGAAUUCCUGGUGUAGCGGUGGAAUGCGCAGAUAUCAGGAGGAACACCAAUAGCGAAGGCAGCUCGCUGGGACGGUACUGACGCUGAGGCGCGAAAGCGUGGGGAGCGAACAGG